rnacentral:rRNA from 1 species
GGCGCAAGCGUUAUCCGGAAUUAUUKGGCGUAAAGAGCUCGUAGGCGGUCUSUCGCGUCUSCUGUGAAAACGGCGAGGCUCAACCUCGGKCCUGCAGUGGSUWCGGGCAGAYUAGAGUSCGGUAGGGGAGAUUGGAAUUCCUGGUGUAGCGGURGAAUGCGCAGAUAUCAGGAGGAACACYGAUSRCGAAGGCAGAUCUSUGGKCCSUAACUGWCGCUGAGGAGCGAAAGGGUGGGGAGCAAACAGGCUUAGAUACCCUGGUAGUCCACCCCGUAAACGUUGGGAACUAGUUGUGGGGUCCAUUCCACGGAUUCCGUGACGCAGCUAACGCAUUAAGUUCCCCGCCUGGGGAGUACGGCCGCAAGGCUAAAACUCAAAGGAAUUGACGGGGACCCGCACAAGCGGCGGAGCAUGCGGAUUAAUUCGAUGCAACGCGAAGAACCUUWCCAAGGCUUGACAUAUAGAGGAAACGUCUGGAAACAGUCGCCCCGCAAGGUCUCUAUACAGGUGGUGCAUGGUYGUYGUCAGCUCGUKUCGUGAGAUGUUGGGUUAAGUCCCGCAACGAGCGCAACCCUCGUUCUAUGUUGCCAGCACGUAAUGGUGGGAACUCAUGGGAUACUGCCGGGGUCAACUCGGAGGAAGGUGGGGAUGACGUCAAAUCAUCAUGCCCCUUAUGUCUUGGGCUUCACGCAUGCUACAAUGGCCGGUACAAAGGGCUGCAAUACCGUGAGGUGGAGCGAAUCCCAAAAAGCCGGUCCCAGUUCGGAUUGAGGUCUGCAACUCGACCUCAUGAAGUCGGAGUCGCUAGUAAUCGCAGAUCAGCAACGCUGCGGUGAAUACGUUCCCGGGUCUUGUACACACCGCCCGUCAAGUCAUGAAAGUCGGUAACACCUGAAGCCGGKRCCCAACCCUUGUGGAGGAGC